GGGAAUAUUGGACAAUGGGGGGCAACCCUGAUCCAGCAAUGCCGCGUGUGUGAAGAAGGUCUUCGGAUUGUAAAGCACUUUCGACGGGGACGAUGAUGACGGUACCCGUAGAAGAAGCCCCGGCUAACUUCGUGCCAGCAGCCGCGGUAAUACGAAGGGGGCUAGCGUUGCUCGGAAUGACUGGGCGUAAAGGGCGUGUAGGCGGUUUACACAGUCAGAUGUGAAAUCCCCGGGCUUAACCUGGGAGCUGCAUUUGAUACGUGUAGACUAGAGUGUGAGAGAGGGUUGUGGAAUUCCCAGUGUAGAGGUGAAAUUCGUAGAUAUUGGGAAGAACACCGGUGGCGAAGGCGGCAACCUGGCUCAUGACUGACGCUGAGGCGCGAAAGCGUGGGGAGCAAACAGGAUUAGGAUACCCUGGUAGUCCACGCUGUAAACGAUGUGUGCUAGAUGUUGGGUAACUUUGUUAUUCAGUGUCGCAGUUAACG
rnacentral:rRNA from 1 species